GUGCUCGCUUUGGCAGCAUAUAUACUAAAACUGGAAUGAUACAGAGAAGAUUAGUAUGGCCCCUGCACAAGGAUGACGCACAAAUUUGUGAAGUGUUCCAUACAAAA
ensembl:snRNA U6 U6 spliceosomal RNA